rnacentral:rRNA from 1 species
AACGAACGCUGGCGGCAUGCCUAACACAUGCAAGUCGAACGAUGCCUUCGGGCAUAGUGGCGCACGGGUGCGUAACGCGUGGGAAUCUGCCUUUCGGUUCGGAAUAACUCAGGGAAACUUGAGCUAAUACCGGAUAACGUCGCAAGACCAAAGAUUUAUCACCGAAAGAUGAGCCCGCGUAGGAUUAGCUAGUUGGUGAGGUAAAGGCUCACCAAGGCGACGAUCCUUAGCUGGUCUGAGAGGAUGAUCAGCCACACUGGGACUGAGACACGGCCCAGACUCCUACGGGAGGCAGCAGUGGGGAAUAUUGGACAAUGGGCGGAGGCCUGAUCCAGCCAUGCCGCGUGAGUGAUGAAGGCCUUAGGGUUGUAAAGCUCUUUUACCCGGGAAGAUAAUGACGGUACCGGGAGAAUAAGCCCCGGCUAACUCCGUG